rnacentral:rRNA from 1 species
GUACACGCUGUGACUAGCAUAUCAAUAAGCGGAGGAAAAGAAACUAACAAGGAUUCCCCUAGUAACGGCGAGUGAAGCGGGAAGAGCUCAAAUUUGAAAUCUUAAAGGGUUUCCCUUUACGAAUUGUAGUUUAAAGAAGUGUUUUCUGUUGAGGUUUUGGUAAAAGUUCUUUGGAAUAGGACAUCAUAGAGGGUGAGAAUCCCGUAUUUGACCUUUACUUUCAACUUUGUGAUACACUUUCAAAGAGUCGGAUUGUUUGGGAAUGCAGUCCAAAAUGGGUGGUAAAUUUCAUCUAAAGCUAAAUAUUGGCGAGAGACCGAUAGCGAACAAGUACCGUGAGGGAAAGAUGAAAAGAACUUUGAAAAGAGAGUUAAACAGUACGUGAAAUUGUCAAAAGGGAAGCGUUUGACACCAGUGUUGUUUUUCUGAAAAUCAAUUAAAGAACUGUUUAUGCUAAGCUGUUUAGACUUUAUCAGCUAUCUGUUUAGUUUUGAGCUUUUCUUUAAUGCACUUUUCAGUUAACAAGUCAACAUCAAUUUCUUUUGCUGUAAAAAAGCUUGAGGAAGGUGGCUUGAGAUUCGUCUUAAGUGUUUAUAGCCUCUUGCCUAUGCAGUCGGAGAGAUUGAGGUCUGCAGCGUAGAUCCUUCGGGGCUAAAUGCAUUUGUGCUAAGUUAUAGCAUUUUAUAGACGACUUGUUGACUAUGAUUUGUCUUGUAGCUUACUCGCUUAUGUUAUUUUACCUACGCUUAGGAUGUUGAUAUGCAUGACUGAUAU